GAGGCGAACCGGGGGAACUGAAACAUCUAAGUACCCCGAGGAAAAGAAAUCAACCGAGAUUCCCCCAGUAGCGGCGAGCGAACGGGGAGCAGCCCAGAGCCUGAAUCAGUGUGUGUGUUAGUGGAAGCGUCUGGAAAGGCGCGCGAUACAGGGUGACAGCCCCGUACACAAAAAUGCACAUGCUGUGAGCUCGAUGAGUAGGGCGGGACACGUGGUAUCCUGUCUGAAUAUGGGGGGACCAUCCUCCAAGGCUAAAUACUCCUGACUGACCGAUAGUGAACCAGUACCGUGAGGGAAAGGCGAAAAGAACCCCGGCGAGGGGAGUGAAAAAGAACCUGAAACCGUGUACGUACAAGCAGUGGGAGCCUCUUUAUGGGGUGACUGCGUACCUUUUGUAUAAUGGGUCAGCGACUUAUAUUCUGUAGCAAGGUUAACCGAAUAGGGGAGCCGAAGGGAAACCGAGUCUUAACUGGGCGUUAAGUUGCAGGGUAUAGACCCGAAACCCGGUGAUCUAGCCAUGGGCAGGUUGAAGGUUGGGUAACACUAACUGGAGGACCGAACCGACUAAUGUUGAAAAAUUAGCGGAUGACUUGUGGCUGGGGGUGAAAGGCCAAUCAAACCGGGAGAUAGCUGGUUCUCCCCGAAAGCUAUUUAGGUAGCGCCUCGUGAAUUCAUCUCCGGGGGUAGAGCACUGUUUCGGCAAGGGGGUCAUCCCGACUUACCAACCCGAUGCAAACUGCGAAUACCGGAGAAUGUUAUCACGGGAGACACACGGCGGGUGCUAACGUCCGUCGUGAAGAGGGAAACAACCCAGACCGCCAGCUAAGGUCCCAAAGUCAUGGUUAAGUGGGAAACGAUGUGGGAAGGCCCAGACAGCCAGGAUGUUGGCUUAGAAGCAGCCAUCAUUUAAAGAAAGCGUAAUAGCUCACUGGUCGAGUCGGCCUGCGCGGAAGAUGUAACGGGGCUAAAACUAUGUGCCGAAGCUGCGGAUGUAUACUUUGUAUACGUGGUAGGGGAGCGUUCUGUAAGCCUGCGAAGGUGUGCUGUGAGGCAUGCUGGAGGUAUCAGAAGUGCGAAUGCUGACAUAAGUAACGAUAAAGCGGGUGAAAAGCCCGCUCGCCGGAAGACCAAGGGUUCCUGUCCAACGUUAAUCGGGGCAGGGUGAGUCGACCCCUAAGGCGAGGCCGAAAGGCGUAGUCGAUGGGAAACAGGUUAAUAUUCCUGUACUUGGUGUUACUGCGAAGGGGGGACGGAGAAGGCUAUGUUAGCCGGGCGACGGUUGUCCCGGUUUAAGCAUGUAGGCUGGUUGUCCAGGCAAAUCCGGAUAAUCAAGGCUGAGGUGUGAUGACGAGGCACUACGGUGCUGAAGUAACAAAUGCCCUGCUUCCAGGAAAAGCCUCUAAGCAUCAGGUAACAUCAAAUCGUACCCCAAACCGACACAGGUGGUCAGGUAGAGAAUACCAAGGCGCUUGAGAGAACUCGGGUGAAGGAACUAGGCAAAAUGGUGCCGUAACUUCGGGAGAAGGCAC
rnacentral:rRNA from 1 species